rnacentral:tRNA from 1 species
GGUUCUAUGGUGUAAUGGUUAGCCCGCUGGACUCUGAAUCCAGCAAUCUGAGUUCAAAUCUCAAAGCUAAAAUUU